CCUGUUACCUGAUUUGGGUUCUCAGGUGUUGAAGGGGAACUGAUUAAGGUAUACCUGAUUGAAGUUUAAUUAAUACCAGCUCUUAAUUCUCAGGUGAUGGAUAGAGUAAUUAGGAACAUUUUAAUACCUGUUACCUGAUUUGGGUUUCCAGGUGUUGAAGGGGAACUGAUUAAGGUAUACCUGAUUGAAGUUUAAUUAAUACCUGCUCUUAAUUCUCAGGUAUAAAAUAUAGAGUAAUUAGAACCAUUUCAAUACCUAGUUACCUGUUCUAAUACCAGUUUCAAUACGUGUUACCUGGUUUAAUUUUGAUAAGGUAUAUAAAAGGAAGAGCAAUUUAGAAGUUCAUAUACCUGGUUUAAGAAAAUAUUUACCUGUUUAAAAUCUCAGGUGAAAAAGAUAGAGCAUUUUGAUACCUGGUUUGUCUAAUAUCACCUGGUUGAAUUUGUCAGGUGUUAAAUGGGAAAGUAAUUAAGGCCUUCAUAUACCUGGUUGAAGCAUGUUUUUACCUGUUCAAAUUUCUCAGGUGUAUGUAAAGUGAAAAUAAGAGAUAAGAGGAAAAUAAGAAAGUAAAGAAAGUAAGAAGAAAAUCAGGUAAAAAUAAAAGAUGAGAAAAAGUAAAUAAAAAACAAUAAAGACGGCAAUAGCAAAAUAAAAAGAAUAAAAAAGUAUUAAGUAUAAAAGUAAAGAGAAGAAAUAUCACGUAAAAUAAAGAAACUAGAGAAAUGAAAAAGAUGAAGACAAGUAUUGAAGUGAAGAAAAGUAAAAUAAUUAAAAGUAGAAACCAAUUAACAGGUAUAUAACAUUUUCAAACUCUCGCUUUCACUUUUAAAACCAAACUAAAAAAAAAAAAUUAAUAACAAAAACACUUACUUUCAUCUUACAAAAUUAAGCAAAAAAUAAAAAUAAAUUAAAAUAACACCAAUUCAAAAAAGCAAUUAACCAAACAACAGGUGUCACAAAGCUCACCUUAGACACACACCUGAGAACAAACAAACGAACAAACUAAUUAACCUAAACACCUGUAAUUAAAGAGGUGAUUUGGGAGACAUUCUGAGCAGGUGAAAACAGACCCCCCUCACCCCCUUAAUCUCUCCCCCGAUCGCCCCCUUUAAAUCCUCCUCCACUAGGGAUUUAUUAAGGGGGAGGGGGGGAGGGGGGAAGGGGGGAUUGUGUAGUAUUAUUAAGGGAAGCAAUACUAAUUACCUUCUGCAAUAAUGUAUAGUAAUAAUGAUGUAUAAUAACUUAGCACUAAUGAUAUGAUGCAAUGUUUUCUUCUUCUUCUUCUUCUCUCUCUCUCUCUCUCUCUCUCUCUCUCUCCCUCUACCUCUUCCUAGAUUCUUCCUCCCUUCCUUUUUCUCUCCAUUCCUAUCUUUCCUCCAUCCUUUUCUCUCCUUCUCUCUUUUCUUUUCUUCUUUCUCUUUCCUUCAUUCCCUCGUUCACUCUUUUUUCCCUCUCUUUCUCUCCCUAUUUCUAUCUUUCCCCUUUCUCCUUCUCUCCUCUUCUCUUUUCUUUCCUUCUUUCACUGUUUUCCUUCAAUCCCUCGUCCACUCUUUUUCCCCUUUCUCUUUCUCUCCCAUUCCCCAUUUCCCCUCUCUCCCUUUCCUCUCAUUCCCUUUCUUCCCUUAACAAUCUUCUAUUCCCUCUUUUUAUCUACUUUCCCUUCCCGUUUUUCCCUUCCCCUUUCCCUCUUCUCUCUCAUCCUCCUUUCCCCUCCUUUCCUCUUCUUCAAUCCUUUCCCUUCACAAACCUUCUCUUUACAACUCUUUCCUCUCCUCCCUUCUUCCCUUUCCUCCCCUUCCCUUUACCUCCUCUCUCCUCCUCCUCCUCCUCCUCCUCCACCUUCACGAAUUAGCUCAAUGAAACAAACAACAAAACGUGUAUGGAACAUGUUCGGAAAGACCUACUAACUCGUCUCUUCUAAGUCACUUGUAAGCUUGUAAGAUCACCUCACCUGUAAUGAUCUCAAUCUCACCUGUAAGUUGGGUAUGGCGUCGUAAGUCCGAGUACGACGGUCGUAACUCGAGUCUCUUUCGUCGUAGGUCGGGUAUCGUUCGUCGUAAGUCGAGUCGUAACUCAUUCAUUAUAAGUCGUUUUUUUUAAGUAAGUUUGAAGUGUUUGAUCUCACUUUUUAAGAUGGUUUUAAGUGAUUUCUAUUUACUUAUCAUUCCACUAUUAAAAACAUCAAUUUGUCUAUCAACUAAAAAAAUCUACUUUACAAGCGUACAUUCACUUUUACUUUCAUGUACGUUAAAUCAUGUGUGUGUACUUUUUUGUGUGUGUGUACUUGUGUUUGCCUGUGUACUUUGCGUGUGUUGGUUUACUUAAAUUCUUGAUCUCUUGUCACAAACUAUAAAAAAAAUACUUAAUAGUUUUGAUUUAAGUAUAAUUUGUAAGUAUGUAAUUAUGCCUUAUUUAUCAUACUGUAGUGUAAUCUAAUUUAUGUAUUAAUUUAUUGGGUGAUUUUGUACUGUAUUUUACAACUUAUUUAUGAGCUUAUCAAUUUAUCGGAAGCAUUAAUGUAUUGUACUGUAUAAAUUUAUGAAUCUAUUUACUAACUUAUUGAUCGAUGCUAAGUUAUUUUUGUGUGUGUUUAAUUAAGUUCGCUGUAAUUAUAUCUAAGUUGUAAUACUGACGAACUUAUUGUGUAACUUAUUAUUAUUAUUAUUAUUAUUAUUAUUAUUAUUAUUAUUAUUAUUAUUAGGUUAUGUAUAUUGUGUCUCUAGUCACAAACAAAGACGUGUGUUCUCUAGUCAAAUAUGCAACGGUUUCCAAAGAUAACUCACUGUGUUCUAGUCAACCAAAGUGUUCUCUAGUCAACCAAAGUGUUCUCUAGUCAACCACAAUGUUUUCUAGUCAGCCACAAUGUUCUCUAGUCAAAGUUACAAGGUUUUCUAAGACGACAUUAUUUUCUGAUUAACAUUCCAACGGUUUCUAAUUAAAUAUACAGGAAAAUCCAAGAUUCCACAACGUUCUUUAGUGAAGGUUUCAAUAUAUUUUUUAAGGCUACAUUGUUUUAUUUGUAACAUUCCAAAGAGUUGUACAAUGUUCUCUUUUUAAUAACACAAGGUAUAUACAAAGGUUUCUAAAAGGUCAACGCUCUUUAAUCCAGUCAGUUACAAUGUUAUCUAGUCAAGGUUUCAUUUGCUAAGAUUUCAUUGUUUUCUUCUUAAUAUUUCAAAGAGUUGUACAAUGUUCUCUAUUUAAUAUUACCAGGUUUCUAAAAGGACCAAUGUUUUCUAAUCCAGUCAGUUGCAAUGUUAUCUAGUCAAGGUUUCAAUUGCUAAGAUUUCAUUGUUUUCUUCUUAAUAUUUCAAAGAGUUGUACAAUGUUCUCUAUUUAAUAUCACAAGGUAUCUAAAAAGGUAUCUAAACAGGCCGACGGUCUUUAAUCCAGUCACUUACGAUGUUAUCUAGUCAAGUUAUCAAUUUUUAAGACUCCACUGUUUUCUUUUUAACAUUCCAAUAAGCUGUACAAUGUUCUUUAUAACCACAAUGUUUCUAAAAGAUCAAAAGUUUUCUACUCCAGGAUCAAAACUGUUUUCUAGAGAGAAUUAUAAUGUUUGCAAAGAUGAGUUUUCUAAUAAAAAUAUCAUGUUUUUAAUUUAUUUAUAGUUUUUUUUUGUUGAGAUUCCGACGGUUUCUGUAGAUACGUGGUUUCUAGUCAAAGUUACCAUGAUUUUGUACUUAUUAUUGCAAGGUUUCAAGAGAUCAAGUUGUUUCUGGUCAUUGUUAUUUAUGUUUUCUAAUGACUAAUGCGAUGUUUUCAAGAAUAUACAAGGGUUUCUAGUCAAAGAUGUCAUGUUUUCUACUUAAUGUUACGAUGUUUUGAAAUUACAAUGAUAUCUGGUCGAAGUUAUCAUGUUUUCUAUUUCUCACAAUGGUUUCAAGUCGAAUUUGUGAUGUUUUCUACUUGAUAUUGCGAUGUUUUCAAAAGGUUCAACUGUUCAAGUCAAAGUUAUCAGGUUUUCUACUAACUGUUGCGAUGUUUCCAAAGACAAAAUGGUUUCCAGACAAAUUUGUGAUGUUUUCUACUUAAUAAUCAAUGUUUUCAAUGAGGCAUUGUGAUUUCCGGUCGGAUUUGUGAUGUUUUCCGUGUGAUAUCGCAAUGUUUUCCAAAAUAUACUCAAAGUUUUCUAGUCAAACCUGUGAUGUUAUCUACUCAAAAUUUCAAUGUUGUCAAAAGUUUUCAAUCGUUUUCUACUCGAAGAUGUGAUGUUAUCUACUCAAAAUUUCAAUGCUGUCAAAAGUUUUCAAUCGUUUUCUACUGGAAGAUGUGAUGUUAUCUACUCAAAAUUUCAAUGCUGUCAAAAGUUUUCAAUCGUUUUCUACUCGAAGAUGUGAUGUUAUCUACUAAAAACUUCAAUGUUGUCAAAACUAUUCAAUGUUGUGAUGUUAAACCGAAUACAUUUUACAUCGUUAUACUUUCCAAUUUGCAAGAUUUCGUUCAUGAUCUACUUUUUCACAAUUUUUCGAGCAGUGAUGUUGUUCUAUAAAUAACUCCAUAUCUACGCUAUUUUCUCAGAUUUCAGCGUACACGACAUAUUAUAAUUUACAAGAUUUCGUUCAUGAUCUACUUUUUCACAAACUUUCGAGCAGUUUUGUUGUUCUAUAAAUAACUCCAUAUCUACGUUAUUUUCUUAGAUUUCUGCGUACUUGAUAUAUUAUACUCGAUACGUGUUAAAUACGUGACUACAAUCGUUCGUUCAGUGCAAAUCAUCAAGCUUUUCAUAGUCUUUCGUUGAGUCAGUUUUCUCAUAAUUCAUAACACGUUUUCAUAAUCAUUCGUCCAGUGUUGUGCUGUUUGGUCAUAUCGCGUCGAGUCGUGAGUUCAAUGAAAAGUCUGAGGAAUUUUGAUAAAGGGAAAACAAAUACCAUGAUGCCCCCCUUAAGAACUUAUGUAAAAGGCGAGAAAUAAAGAGAAUAAGAAAAUAAAAACAGGUGAAAAUGGAAAGAAUAAAAUCAAAACAAGAACGGAAAUGAUGAUAAUGCAAAACUGAACAAACAAAACAAACAAAACAAUCAAUUAAAACAGAUAUACAAACAAGCAAACAAAUAGAAAACUGAGAAAGAGAACGUUAUAAAAGAAAUAAAUCCAUAAGAAAAAAAAUUAAGACAGAACGAAACAAAUUAAUGAAAACAAUAAAUAUUAGAAAACAACAAAAAAACAAACAAGUAAACAAGCAGAGUAAACAGUGACACAGAACGUAAUAAAAAAAAGACCUCAGCAAACAACACCAAUAAACAAUAGAUAGAAAAUGAAAGAUGCAAACAAUAGUAGAAAAAAUAAACAAGUAAACAAGUGAUGAAACAACUAAGCAAACAAGAAAAGAUAAACAAAAGCAGAAAACAAAAGUAAGACGCAAACAAAUCAAAUCAAAGAAACAAACAAUGAACAAGAGCAAACAAUCAAAGCAAGCAAACAAACAAGAUCAAACAAACAGGUGAGAGGAAAACAACUCAAGGAAGAAAACAAAAAAACAAAAGAAAAUAAACAAAACAAAGAGAUGUGAGGCAAACAAAUCAAAUCAAGCAACAAAUAAUCAAAGAAAAGUAAACAAGAUGGAGGAGCAAACAAUCAAACAAGCAAGAAAACAAUAAUCAAACUCUAACAGGUGAGGUGUAAACAAAUUAAACAAGGAAAAAGAAAACAAGUAAACAAGGUGUGAGAUUUCCAUUUAUCUUCCCUCUUAGACCUUUCCCUUCCUUAUUCCUCUUCCUCUUCCUCUUCCUCCUCCUCCUCCUCUUCCUCUUCCUCUUCUUAUUCCCCUUUCACCUUCCCUUCCCUUAUUCCUCUUUCCUUUCCAUUCACUUUUUCUCCCCUUAAUCCUUUCCUCUUCCUCCUCUUACUCUUCCUCCUCCUCCUCCUCUUCCUCUUCCUUAACGCAUCAACUCUUAACAAUCUAUACAUUUUCCCCCUCUUCAUUCCCCUCACUUUCCCCCUUAAGGAAUUACCGAGGAAGGGGUGACCAUUCCCCAAAACAUAUUCUCCGUUCACGCUAACCUGGCGAACUGGCCCCGCCCACCACACCCCAGCAACCAAUAGGGGUUAACCGGACCCAGAAUCAACCAAUAAGAUCUCUCCCUGGCAUCCAUCAGUGAGAUUUAGCCUUUCCCAGCAUCCACCAGUGAGAUUUAACCUUUCCCAGCAUCCACCAGUGAGAUUUAACCUUUCCCAGCAUCCACCAGUGAGAUUUAACCUUUCCCAGCAUCCACCAAUGAGAUUUAACCUAGGGAGAGAAGGGAGAAGCUGAUUCGCCAAGUUACCAUGAACUGAGUAUAGUUUCAACAGUUAAGUUUCAAUUCCAAGGGGCGAAGUGAAACAGGAUGAAGAGGGGGAAAACACUUUAGAAACUUUAAAUAAACCCUAUAACGAAACAUUUUAUGACGCUGUUUCACGCUAUGCGACAUACAGACUGAACGAAAAAAAAAGAGAAAAAUAAACUUGGAAUCGAACAUUUUUUUCUUGACGCGAAUUUUAGAAGAUUUUUAACACGAGGUGAAGGGCAGAGGGCGCCACCUGUCCGUCUGUCUGUCUGUCUGUUGACCUGCGGGGGUUACGUGUGUGCGUUUGUUUGUUUUCACCUCCAACUGUGUACAUAUGAACAUAAUGACUUUUUAGACUAAUGAUGAUGAUGAUGAUGAUGGUGGUAAACAUUGUACAGACCAAGAGUAUUUUUGCAACGGUGAAAAAGGAAGGUUAUUAGACAGAAAAUAUAUAUACGUAAACAGAAAUGCCUGGGUGUAUGCCUAACCUCCACGGGUGUAGACAGACGGACAUACAUACAAACAAACAAACAAAAAAACCCAGCUGGUAGAAGAAAACAAGAAUAGCUGGGAAAACAAAACAAAGAACAGCUGAUAGAAGAACGCAAACAAAAAGAAUGUGCUUAUUAACAGAACAUCAGAAAUAAAUAUAAGAUGAGAUUCACGAAUAUAUACAAAAAAUGAUGCAAGAUUUUUACUGAUAGAGAGAAAACGAAGAAAAUUAGGUUGAUAUUGUUAGUCCCUUUCGCCCUUCAAGUCAACUAUUUCUAAUGGUCGAAAAGGGGAUCAGUCGGGUUGUCAUGAAUGGUAUUUUAGGUUCACGGUACAGAGGAAGGGUCAAACUACCACCACGGUCAUAAAACUACUCCUGGAAAUGACCCCAACACCUACGAAAGCCUUGUCAGAUAUGUGAACUUGGGCGACGAAAUGUUUAGUAAUACGCCCCAAAAAGAUCACGUUGAUAAACAUAAAGAAAAUGACAAGUUAUAAGCUCAGCAAAAGAUUAUAAUGUAUUGACGAACAAAGAAGGAAAAUUAAAGAAAACAUUAACGAUUAUAAAGAGAAAAUAAUGUGAGUUAAAGAGUAAACACAAGCUUAUAAUUAACAGAAAAACAUUUAAGAAUAAAAGAUCAUAUUGACAAAUACAAAAAAAAAAAAAUGCAAGUAAUCUCAUCAAAAGAUUUCCAACACAAGACCGCGUGGACGAUCUCAUCAAAACAAAACAAAACAAAACAAUCAAACAAAACAAACAUCUGGUCCCUGACAGCAAACCAAAACAAAAACAAAGAAAGAAAAACAACUAAUCAACGUGAAAUAAAUCUUAAACAAAAACAAAACAAUAAUAAAACAAAUAAAACAGCACACAAAACAGGUGACGCCCUUAGCCAAAACGCCCCCUUAAGGAAAUAAAAUAAAAAACAAGUAAAAACAAGCAAAACAAAUAUACCUUCUCCCCUUCCCUAUCUUCCCCUUCCCUUCCUUCCCUUCCCUUCCCCUCCCUUCUGCCCCUUCCCUUAAGCUAUAUCUUAAUACUAAUUCUAAACUUAACCGCCCCGCGCCCCUCCUCCGGCCGAGCCAAGGGGGUGAGAGCCGAUUCGUACGCACGGUUCCUGUUAGUACGCACGCCAGGGAGGAAGUAAAUGGGAAGGAAAAACUGAGAAAAAUGGGAGAAAAUUAGAAUGAAGAAUAAAUAAUGUAAGGAAAUGAUAAAGAAGGAGAAAACUUAAAAAUCUAAAAUGAAUGUAAAGAAAAGAAAGAAUGAUGAAAAUAAAAAGGAGAAAAGGAGAAAAAACGAAAGAGUAACAGAGGAAGAAAGAAAAAAAAUAAUAAUAUGAAUGGAAGGAGAAAAGGAGAAAAAAAGAUUAAAAAAUGAUCUGAGGAAUUAAAAGGGAAGGAAGAUUAGUGAAGAAUAGAAUGAAAAUAGUGAGAAAAAAAAAAAUUGAGUGAAGAAUGUUUUUUUUUUUACAGGAAAGGACAGUUCAAGGGCGUAAAAAAAAAGAAAACAAUAAUGAAAAAAAAAACCGCUAAAAAUAAAAGUAAGAAGGAAUGAUAAAUAAAAUAGACUGAGUAAAAUAAAUCUGAUCUGAAGUAUGUUAGAAAAAAAAUGAGGAAAGGAGAAAAAAAUGGGAGACUGAACUGAAGAAUGUAAAACCAAGGAGGAAUGAUUAAAAAAAUAUAUAAAAUGAAAUGAAGAGAAAAAAAUGAAAAAAAAAUUCUAAUCUGAUGAAUGUAAGAAAAAGAAUGAGGAAAGGAGAAAAUAAUGAACGAGAUGAAAAAAAAAUUGAAAAAAAUUGAGCUUAAGUGAAACAGUAGAAUGAAUUAAAAGAGAAGUUAAUUCAAAUCCAUCAAAUCAAUCCCGUAGAGUAACUUAUUUCCUUCCACUCAGUUAAAUCACAAAUAACAACUCAGUGGAAGGAGAGAAGUCCGCAAACGAAUCUUCCCUCACAUGCGUACUAAUCGGAGGUGGUGCGUACAAGUCGGCGAACACCCCCCUUAAGGCGCGCGACCAAGGGGGGAGAGAGGCUGCCGGGGUCUGGGUAUUCGUGAAGCAAUAAAAUAAUAGUUAUGGGUCACAUGUGGGGUUAGUGUGCGAGGGACGGGUGUUCGAGCCCCGCCGCCUGCCAGGACUGGGCCACGGGUUGACAGGCGUGAGGAUGGGUGAGCAUAGGUGCCAAGAAGGUGGGAAAUGGGUGAAAAUAAUGGAAAAUAGGUGGAAAUUAGGUGCGUUUGUGAAAAUGGGUGAAAAUAAUGGAAAAUAGGAGAAAAUUAGGUGCGUUUGUGAAAGUAGGUGAAAUGAAUUAAAUGUAAAUAUAAAUAAAUAAUGAAAUAAAUGUGAAAAAAUAUGAAAAAAACAACAACAUAAUGACAAAUAAAUGGAAAUAAGGGGAAUGUAAUUAAAAUCAUGAUAGAAAUAGAUAAGAAAUCAUGAAUAAAAUGGGAAAUAGGAAAAAAUCAUAAAAGUCAGUUAGGAAUAAUGAAAAAAAAUACGUAAAAAAAUGUUAAAAAAAAUUGCAUAGGGUGAGGAAAAUUGUAAACAGGUCAAAAUAGUAGAUGAAAUAAAAGGGAAAGUAGAAGGUAAAAAAAUAAUAGAAUAGGGAAUAGAAGAAUAGAAUAGCAUCGAAUAGAAUAGAAUAGAAGAGAAGAGAAGAGAAUAGAAGUGUAUAAAGAGUAAAUAAUUGAGGAAAGAAUAACACAUUUGCAAAACAGAAGAAAGGUUAAAACAGGUAUAAGAGAAAGGAUGAAAAAUAAAUGAAUAACAGCUGAAAAAAAAUAAAUGAAAGCAAAAACAAUGAAAAAAUAGGUAAAUAAAUAUGAAAAUCAGGAAAAUUAACAACAAAGGGAUAAAGGAAAAUAGGAAAACAAAGAAAAAUAGGUUACAAAAUAUGAAAACUAGGGAAAUAUCAUGAAAACUAGAUUAAAAUAAGAAAUAAGAAAAAUAAGUUUAAAAAAUGGGAAAUAGGGAAAAAUAGGAAGAAAUAGGAAAAGUGAAAAUUGGGUAGAUUAAAAUAUGAAGGAAAAGGAGAAGGUAGAGAAGGUAGAAAAAUAGUUGGAAAUAGUAGUGUAGAAAUAGUUAUUAAUAGGUGAAGAAAGAUGAAAAUGCUUGAAUAACAGAUGAAAAGUUAAAAUUGGUGUAAGUGAAAGGAUGAAAAAUACAUACAUACAUACAUACACAUAUACAUACACGUGUACACAAAAGAUAUAUUAUGUAAUCCAUCCAUAGUAAUAUAGGUACACACACACACACACACACACACACACACACACACACACACACACACACACACACACACACACACAUUUGUCUCGUCUCAACAUCUAUGCAACUUUAAACGAAUAUUUUUCACUAAUACAACGAACGAGAUGGCAACGCUUUCACAACGAAUAAAAACAACAAUAUAAAAGAAAUAAUAGAGAAUAUACAAACGUGUUGAGAAAGACUGACAAAAGAAGAACGAGAAGAAAAAAGAAAAAAAAGAAAAGGGAGAAAUGUUAUUAGAUUAGAUAAAGGGAAAAAGAGAAAAAAAAUAGGUUAGAAAAAUAAAUGAAUAUGAAAAUAAAUGCAUGAAGUGAAUGAAUUGAAGGAGAAAGUUGACAAAAUAUGAGACAACUGUAGAUAAUAGAAAUAGAAAUAAAUAGAAAAUAUAUAUAAAUUCAACCAGUGAAAGAGAAAAUUCAGCGGACACAGGAAGAAACAAGAGAAUUUUAACAUCAAUAGAAAAAGAAGAAAAAAAACAACGUGAAGAUGUGAAAAAUAAGCACACAAAAAAAUGGAGAAAAUACAGGAAUGAAGAGGAAUGAAAAACGAAGAUAGAAAUAAACGAAAAAUACAAAAAAAAAACAAAUAAUGGAAAACAAAGUAACAGGAACAUGAUAAAAGAAUAAAGAAAAAAAAACGAGACAAACAAAACAACGAAAAGGAAUAACAAAUCAAAGGAAAAUAAACAAUAAAAUAAACAAACACAAUAAUGAAAAAAAAAAACCCAGCUGAAAUAAAAAGAAAAGAAAAAACAACAACAACCCUUAAAAGUAACCCCGUUCAAAACACGAAAUCCCCAUCCACAACCUCUUGGUCCGAGUCUGGGCAUCAUCACCUUGGCCUCGGUCUUGGCACGGGCGGCGCGGUGUCAGCCUGGCCUGCUCCAACACGGCCUAAGCUUGAAUAAUACUAUGCAAUGACCCUUAGUGAGUCUUAUUAAAGGUAGAUAGACACGUAGGUAUGCGUAGAUGAGAGACACGCCACACGACGAUAAAGAGAGACACAGAGAGAGAGAGAAAGAGACAGAAACAGAGAAAACAGAUGGAGAAAUAUAAAGAGUGGAUGAAACAGAGACACAGAUAGAGAUUGAAAGAAGAGAGUGAACGGAAAGAGUUAUAAAGAGAUAGAGAGAAGAGUAAAAAGAGUUGUACAGAUCAAAAGGAAGAGAAUGCGAUGGAAAGAAUGGAAAAGAUGAAUGGAUGGAACAUAGAAAUUUAUACACAGAGAGAGAAAGGGAGAAGCGUAGCAAAGAAGAAAGGACGGAAAGAGUGAGAGAUAGAUAAAGAAUGUAUCGAUAGGCGACAGAAAAGUGAAGGAAAGAGGAGAGAUGACAAAAGAAGGAGGCUGCGGAAAAUAUUAAAAGAACAGGAAAACAAGGAUGAGAAAAGAGGAGAAGGGAAAGUAAUCUAAAGGAAUGAUGGUAGAGGAAAGAAUGGAAAGUAGAAGGAAAAUAAAAAGAUGAAAAUGGGAAAAAAGAAAGUUAAAAGAUAUGAAGAAAAAGAUGCUGGAGAUUGGAAUAUGAAAAGAAAAUAAGAAAAAGAGAGAUAAAAGAGGAAAGACAUGAAGCAAGAAUGGAAAGUAUAAGGAAAAUAAAAAGAUGAAAAUGGGAAAAAUGAAAGUUAAAAGAUAUGAAGAAAAAGAUGAUUGAGAUUGGAAUAUGAAAGGAAAAUAAGAAAGUAAAAGAUAAAAGAGAAAAGAUAUGAAGCAAGAAUGGAAAGCAGAAGGAAAAUAUAGAGAUGAAAAUGAGAAAGCAAAAAAUAUGAGGAAAAAAAUGCUGGAAAUUGGAAUAUGAAAAGAAAAUAAGAAAGUAAAAGAUAAAAGAGAAAAGAUAUGAAGCAAGAAUGAAAAGUAGAAGGAAAAUAUAGAGAUGAAAGUGAGAAAGCAAAAAAUAUGAAGAAAAAGAUGCUGGAGAUUGGAAUAUGAAAAGAAAAUAAGAAAGUUAAAGAUAAAAGAGGAAAGAUAUGAAGCAAGAAUGGAAAGCAAGAGAAGGCAAAUAAAGAGAUGAUUAAAAGGGUAAAAAUAACAAUAGUAAAAUGUAAUAAAACCCACUGACCCAUCUACUAUGCAAGGAAGAAGUAAAAUCACGCAAUAAGUCGCAAUAAUGAUAGUUAAUAAUAAUGCUAGUAAUAAUAAUAAUAAUAAUAAUAAUAAUCAUAGUACUUAUAAUAUUAAUGCUAAGACAUAGAGUAAUAAUAAUAAUAAUAAUAAUAAUAAUAAUAAUAAUAAUAAUAAUAAUAAUAAUAAUAAUAAUAAUUCAGCUUCUAUUUAUAUUCGUAGUUAGAGUUUUUUCCUAUAUAUAACAAAGCACCAAUUUUGUAGUGUAUUCAAACGUCCAAGGCACCGUGUUUUUUUCUCGUUGUUUUCUGGUAUGGUUUGGCGUGUGGUCACACGCCGCGUGUGUUAUGGUUGUUUCCGUUCCUCAGUGUGUGUGAACGUAACGAUGUUUUUGUACCCCGUAUACUGAAAACUGUAAAAAAAAACGGAAGGGCACACACACACACACACACACACACACACACACACACACACACACACACACACACACACACACACACACAGAAAA